rnacentral:misc_RNA from 1 species
GAUGAAGAACGCAGCGAAAUGCGAUAAUUAAUGUGAAUUGCAGAAUUCAGUGAAUCAUCGAGUCUUUGAACGCACAUUGCGCCCCCUGGUAUUCCGGGGGGCAUGCCUGUCCGAGCGUCAUUGCUGCCCUCAAGCCCGGCUUGUGUGUUGGGUCUCGUCCCCCUUCCCGGGGGGACGGGCCCGAAAGGCAGCGGCGGCACCGCGUCCGGUCCUCGAGCGUAUGGGGCUUUGUCACCCGCUCUGUAGGCCCGGCCGGCGCUUGCCGAUCAACCAAAACUUUUUUCCAGGUUGACCUCGUAUCAGGUAGGGAUACCCGCUGAACUUAAGCAUAUCAAUAAGCGGAGGA